CUACGGGAGGCACCAGUGAGGAAUAUUGGUCAAUGGACGCAAGUCUGAACCAGCCAUGUCGCGUGCAGGAUGACUGCCCUAUGGGUUGUAAACUGCUUUUAAACGGGAGUAACCCUUCGGACGUGUCCGGAGCUGUAAGUACCGUUUGAAUAAGGAUCGGCUAACUCCGUGCCAGCAGCCGCGGUAAUACGGAGGAUCCGAGCGUUAUCCGAUUUAUUGGGUUUAAAGGGUGCGUAGGCGGAGUCAUAAGUCAGUGGUGAAAGUAUGCCGCUCAACGGUAUAAUUGCCAUUGAAACUGUGAUUCUUGAGUAUGGACGAGGCAGGCGGAAUGUGUAAUGUAGCGGUGAAAUGCAUAGAUAUUACACAGAGCCCCGAUUGCGUAGGCAGCUUGCCAGACCAUUACUGACGCUGAUGCACGAAAGCGUGGGGAUCGAACAGGAUUAGAUACCCCCGUAGUC
rnacentral:rRNA from 1 species